rnacentral:lncRNA from 1 species
GUGGACCCUAGACCUGACACAGCACACAAACACUUGGUUUGUGUUCAAUAUACAGGCUGGCUGAACAGGAACACUAAUGGGAAGAGGAAGGAGGCUACGAACAGCACAAUUGCAGAUGUCCAGAAAGGAUUUGUGCAUGACAACAAGAAUGGAUUCUGAAGACUUCUCUAAUAUUUCUGGGGGAUUUGGUCUCUACGCAUGACUUAUAUUAUCUCUGCUCUGAGGACAUUUAUAAAUAAACUCUUCAUUAUUAUGUUUUUAAAAGAAACUUCAUAGGAAAACCAAGAAGAUACCUUUCCUCUGUAGCCGUUCCAGUCUCUGACUUGGUUGACCCCCACAAAAAGCAGUCAGACUUCUGCAUGGACAUUCUUGCACAAACAUGUGAUACGAACCGUUAUGUUAUCAAAUUCAAAUCAACAUCUCAGUCUUCCCAGCAUAUGAACAGAUCUUCAGUAUCAUGAACAUCUGAUUUUGGUUUAAUAUGGAUCCUGAGAGCCCAGCUCCUAUCUGCAAAGUCAAGAUAUGGGGAGAGAGAGGGUUAACAUGUCAUGGCUGGAACCAACCCUACACUCUAUAGCUGUGAACAAUUAGGCCUGUCAAUGUUCCCUUUGCAGAAACUCCUGCUACUUUAUCGGGACUAAUAAGCAACAGAAUUUUGACUUUUUGAUAGGUGGGGUUAUAAAUCUACCAUCAAGGCUGAGAGAGGACAAGAUGAGUUUAUAUGUACAAGUAGAAUCUUUAACUCUGGACCCUACAAGAUACUCAAGCUAGGAAUGCCCUAUUUGUUCCAAGACAGGAGUGGCAUGAGAUGGAGGAACUAGAUCUGGAACAAGAAAUUAUUUUCUUUUAACAAAUUUCACAGUAGAGUAUGUAACAGCUGCACAGAGCAAGACCCCUGAAUUUCUCUGAUAGGUCAACCAUAUAAUAUUUGCUCAUGUGAAAUUCUUCCUUUCACAUGUCUCAACAAUAUUUUAUUGCUUUCACUGUAUUUUGUAAGUUGCUUUUUACACAUUUUUAAAUAUGAAAAUUGAUACUUGAACUCUUGGAAGAGAACACAGAAAAGAUUAAGAAAACUUGAAUUUUGGUGUAUCUUAUUACUAAUAAAAUUCUAUGUGUGAG